AGUGAACGCUGGCGGUAGGCCUAACACAUGCAAGUCGAACGGCAGCACAGUAAGAGCUUGCUCUUACGGGUGGCGAGUGGCGGACGGGUGAGGAAUACAUCGGAAUCUACUUUUUCGUGGGGGAUAACGUAGGGAAACUUACGCUAAUACCGCAUACGACCUACGGGUGAAAGCAGGGGAUCUUCGGACCUUGCGCGAUUGAAUGAGCCGAUGUCGGAUUAGCUAGUUGGCGGGGUAAAGGCCCACCAAGGCGACGAUCCGUAGCUGGUCUGAGAGGAUGAUCGGCCAAACUGGAACUGAGACACGGUCCAGACUCCUACGGGAGGCAGCAGUGGGGAAUAUUGGACAAGGGGCGCAAGCCUGAUCCAGCCAUACCGCGUGGGUGAAGAAGGCCUUCGGGUUGUAAAGCCCUUUUGUUGGGAAAGAAAAGCAGCAGGUUAAUACCCCGCUGUUCUGACGGUACCCAAAGAAUAAGCACCGGCUAACUUCGU
rnacentral:rRNA from 1 species